CCCUUAGAUGUCCUGGGCCGCACGCGCGCUACACUGAGUGUCUGAGAUACGAGUCUGCCCGGUCCGGCAAGGUCUAGGUAAUCGCUAAAAGACACAUCAUGCUUGGGAUAGAUUAUUGCAAAUAUUAAUCUUGAACGAGGAAUUCCUAGUAAGCGCAAGUCAACAGCUUGCGUUGAUUACGUCCCUGCCCUUUGUACACACCGCCCGUCGCUCCUACCGAUUGAAUGUUCCGAUGAAUACCAUGGACUGAGAGUAUGAAUGGGUUCGCUUAUUUCUGCUUCUCGGGAAGUGGAGUAAAUCUUAACAUUUAGAGGAAGGAGAAGUCGUAACA
rnacentral:rRNA from 1 species